CCUACGGGUGGCAGCAGUGAGGAAUAUUGGUCAAUGGACUAGAGUCUGAACCAGCCAAGUAGCGUGAAGGAUGACUGCCCUAUGGGUUGUAAACUUCUUUUAUCUGGGAAUAAAAUGUUCCACGUGUGGGAUUUUGUAUGUACCAUAUGAAUAAGGAUCGGCUAACUCCGUGCCAGCAGCCGCGGUAAUACGGAGGAUCCGAGCGUUAUCCGGAUUUAUUGGGUUUAAAGGGAGCGUAGGUGGAUUGUUAAGUUAGUUGUGAAAGUUUGCGGCUCAACCGUAAAAUUGCAGUUGAAACUGGCAGUCUUGAGUACAGUAGAGGUGGGCGGAAUUCGUGGUGUAGCGGUGAAAUGCUUAGAUAUCACGAAGAACUCCGAUUGCGAAGGCAGUUCACUGGACUGCAACUGACACUGAGGCUCGAAAGUGUGGGUAUCAAACAGGAUUAGAUACCCCUGUAGUC
rnacentral:rRNA from 1 species